CUCUCUCUUUUUCUUAGGGAAUAAAUUAAAAGUAAAAACAAAAGAAAACAAAACAAAAUCUACCCAGCCCGCCACAAAAACACACACACACACACGUAUCGGAGAGUUUGGAAAGAUUUUGUCUACAAAAUGCUAUUUAUUGUCCGUCUUUCCUUCGCCUCACUUGCGCUCUACCUCUUCCCCCCCCCCCAGCAUUAACCCUUUUGGCUAGCUGGAGGGAAUGUGAAACUGAGAUUUGGCCCUGAGUUUAAUCUCCCCCGUCUCUCCCGCUCCCUCUCUGUCUAUAGAUCUGGCAAGGACUUGCUCUCUUAACUCUCAGAUCAUUGUUCCGGUGGCGGCGGCGGCCAGAAAGAGCAAGGCAGCGCUGUGCUCUCACUUCCUCCUAGCUUCUUUAAAAAAAAAAAAAAAGGGGGGGGGGCAUUCCUCGUCCAACUUUUCCUUCAGUUAUUCACUCCUCAAGCCCACUGGCAGUCUUUUGCCGAAAACCUACUACACUCCAGUUUUGAUCUGGAAGAUAAGGACAGAUGCAUCACUGUCUUGUUAUGUAAGAGAGGAGUCAAGACUGUCCCAUCCAAAUGCUGCCAAAUAUGCUUGUCAAGCACAUGCAAGCUCCAGCAGAUGGCCCUACCAGCUUGCCAGCUACAGAAUGCUAUCUUGAUGUUAUGUUUGUGGAGGAUCUUGCUGAUUCUGUCUGUGGAAGAGUGGCCCUAUCACACGAGCAAUGAGCAAGCAGUUAGAUCGGCAAGGGUAUAAAAAAAACUUCUCCACCCCCUGAGCCUCACUCUGAGGAUGCUGGCAGAGGAUCAGCGAAAGCUAAGUUGUUUUUAACUUUGUAUAUAACUGUUUUUAUUGUUUUAAAUAUUGUUUUAACAAUAAAUAACUAGAUUAUACUCUUCCCGGAGAUCGACGAUUGCAUUAUUGAACUCAAGGUGUGCCAUGGUUCCAAGAGAUGGUGUUAAUGUCCAGGGACUUAAGAGAGGCUUUUAGCAUGUCUUUGUAUUGCUUCUUUUGUCCUCCGUGCAAUCGUUUUCCUUGAGACAGCUCACCAUAGAAGAGC